AACGAACGCUGGCGGCGCGUCUUAACCAUGCAAGUCGAGCGGCAGGCAGCAAUGCCGAGAGCGGCGGACUGGUGAGUAACACGUGGAUAACGUACCCCGAUGUCCGGGACAGCCUGUAGAACUAGAGGGUAAUACCGGAUAGAUCACUGUUUACGUGAGGUAGACAGCGGGAAAGGAGCUUCGGCUCCGCGCCGGGAUCGGUCUGCGGCCCAUCAGCUGGCCGGCGGGGUAAGGCCCGCCGUGGCGAGGGCGGGUAUCCGGCCUGGGAGGGCGGACGGACACAUUGGGACUGGGAGACGGCCCAGACUCCUACGGGAGGCAGCAGGUAAGAAUAUUCCGCAAUGGGGGGAACCCUGACGGAGCGACGCCGCGUGAACGAAGAAGGCCGGAAGGUUGUAAAGUUCUUUUCUGUCCGAGGAAUAAGUUUCGGAGGAAAUGCCGGGACGGUGACGGUAGGGCAGGAAUAAGCACCGGCUAAUUACGUG
rnacentral:rRNA from 1 species